GCCGGCCCUUUACCCCCCUCGCUCACAACAGUUUAAAUUUCAAACUAAUUCCCUGUUUUUGCUCUUCCUCUUCACAAGGCCGGCUGGAGACAACCCAGCCUGCUGGCCUCAAAUCUCCCUCUCUAUUGCUCUAGUCACUGGAUUUCCAAACACCUGGGCCUCCCAGUGCCUAUCAGCUUUAGGCUAGACCAUCCAAGACGGCUUCCCCAGUUUCAAGCCCAAACCAAGUUUCUGCUCUCCUCCAGCCUCCAGAGCUGCAGCCGCCCAGCCUCCACCCUCUGGAGUCGAGACGUCCCAGUACCUUUCUGGCGCCGCGUUCUGCGAACUCGCGAGCGAGCUGGCGCCCGAUGCCUCUCCCGCCGCCGGUGAUGAGGACGGUCUCCCGCGACAGGUCCCGCAGCUUGGCGGGCAGCACCAGUCCGACGGCUGCUUUCACCACCAGAUAGAUCAUCUGCAGAGGGAACACCACCAACGCGCCCAGCCGUUUCCACACCAUCCUCCGCGCCGCGGAGCUGGGCAGCGGGGGGUGAAACUCCCCGGACCGAACAAAAUAGGGCUUAAAAAAGAAAACACUCCCAAACAAUAAUAAAUAAACCGAACAAGGGGGAGAGAGGCGUCCCACCUGGCCACUCUUGAAAUCACCUCUUCCCAAAUGCAAAGCAAGCACAGGGUGAGAAAAAGGGGGGGAAAAAUGAUAAAUCCUCGGAACGAGAAAAAGCGUCUCAGAAGCUUGGGACAGUAAGAGGGGUGGAGGGGAAGCCGGAGGUGGAAAGUUCUAACAAGAACUUUCUUGCCCCAGCAGCCGUUUCGGCUGGGGAAUUCUCAGGUAAUGUUUACAGGCUGACAGAGGAGUUUAGGCAGGGGAAGAAAAAAAAAUGCACCAACCACACGCGCGCACCCUGCUACAGCCCCGCGGUUUCAAAGUGCAAGAUUAAAAAAAAAAAAAAAGCCGUUUCCAAAUUGUAGCGCCCCCCCCAACCCCUUCUCCGGAAAAAAAAAAAAAAAGUGGGGGGGGGGAGGAGUGCUUGGAGCUCCCAAUUUCAGCCCGCGAAAGUCUCCCGACUCAUUGCUAUUCUUGGGCUCAGGAAAUUGCUUAAACGCGAUCUGAUUGCCAGCAACGUGCAGGAGAAGUGGGGGGUCCGGGUGUCAGUUUCUUUACGUGCAUGGCUCGCCCUCGCGCGCGCUCGCUCUCUCCGGCUCCCUCCCUCCCUCUCUCCUCCAACGGAGGCUGGGAGUUGCCGCGCGAUCCGGCUCCCUCUCUCUCCCUUGUUAGCAUUUAUUGCCUUCUUUUUGUCCUUUCCAACUUGGAGAGGGCCCUGGUGCGGAGCGCGCGUGGAUCGGACGCCCUCGUCUGCGCCGCCUUAUCCAUUUGCUCCCGGGGCAGCCGCGGAGCGGAGCGAGAGGGCGGCUCUUUUUCUCCCCCAUUUUUUUUUUUAAUACCCCAUUAAGUCUGAUUGACAGUUAAAGUUGUUCCGAAGCUUCACUACCGUUCCUCUGAGUGGCUGCCGCGGGCUCCCCUCCCCCUGCGCAGUCGCAGGGCGCGCGCGCGGGCGCGCACACGGGCUCGCUCCGACUCGCGCUCUCCCGGGGCCGGCUCCCCUGUCUGCAAGCUGGGGCUUGCCGGCGGCGUCCCUGAGGGCUCGCCGCUGCAACUCGCACACGCUGGAACCGACUCCUGCGAACCGUCUCCGUCCUCGAGAUGUUUCUCCUUGCCCGGGACGCUGUCUCCCCGAACAGGGGCUCCUGCGGGCCAGGUGAUCGCCCCUGCGUGCCGGGCAGGCCCGGGGGAGCUCGCGCCUGCCUUGAUCCAUCCAGGUCGCCCAGGGUUUAUUUCGGGUCAUUUGGUCACCCCCUGCCUCCAGGAGAAGAGAGAGACAAAGAGAAGAGGACACCCACGUGAAGGCAGAAGCAGUGACGGGAGUGAGGUGGCCACAAGCCAAGGAGGACCAGGAGCCGCCAGAAGCUGGCGGAGGUUGGAGUGCGGCCCUGCCCACACCUUGACUUUGGGACUUCUGGCUGCUAGAAUCUGGCUGCUAGAGAGUAAAUUUCUGUAAUUUUAAGCCAUGUGGGUGGUCAUUUUUUACAGCAGCCCUUGGAAACGAAGACACCUGCCUCCUGCAUUUACCAGCUGCCUUACCUGGAACGACACAUUUCUUAUGCUCCUGAGCCUCGGCUUCCACAUAUGUGAGAUGGGGACACCCCAAGUGCCUAAGUCACCGGGUGUGUGAGGACUUGAUGUACGAUGAGGACAAAGCUCUUAGGGAAAGUCCUGGUACCCUCCCUAAGUGCCCCUCACUUGUAGCAAGAUUUCAGGUUAUACACCAAACAAUUCUGGCCCUGACGAGUCCUGUCUCUCUGCAGGGGCACAAAGGAACUUUAGAAGUCCCCAUGCCAGCCUCCACGCGUGGUUUGUCACACCUAGCACAGGACCCCGGGCUCAUCACGGGCCAUCAAGGUUGUGUUGUACAAAAUGGUGCUGAUGACCCCUUGUGAUGUCAUUUUUCACCCCCCUAAAAGGGAUAACAGGAUCUCUAAGUGGUCAGAGCAUGGAAAUUGGUGGUAAUGACCCCCCACGAUGUCAUCUUUAACACCCCAUUAAAGGGAAGGCAGGAUCUCACAGUGGUCAGACCACAGACUCUGAGUCAGACUCCCUGCGUUUAGAUUCCUGCUCUGUGACUCACUUGCUGUGUGACCUUGGGCAAAUUUCUUAACCUCUCUGUGCCUCUGGUUCCAAAUGAAAAAUGGGCAUGAUAUGCAGUGUGCCACUACCCCAUCAUGUCUGUAAAUGCUGGUGUGAGAAGAUGCCAUGUGGAGGUUACAUAAACGUCAGACCCAAUAGAGAGGACAUUCCUUUGAAUUUGAAACCUAACCAAGUUUCCACUUGAGGCCAAACUGCCUCUUCACGGCUUGCCCCCGCCCUGCCUCCAAAGGGAAGCUCACCCCCCAGGAGAGCUCUCAGGCUGCACGUUGCUCAGGAUUUUCCCGGCCAGCUCUUGUGAAGCCUGGGAGCAGUAAUGAGCGCCUUGGCACUUGCCGCCCACAUUUCUGGAAGACGCACCCAGCUUCGCGGUGUGAGCCCUCCCAGGCCAGAAUGGAAAUGCGGCAUCAGCAUGGGCUUAAAGAUCAAGUCGAAAGGUCUGUUUUCUCUAGGGCUCCACCCCCUGAAUUCUUGGGAUUCUUGGUUAACGGGAGUGCCCCCAGGGGGCCUGCUUCCAGGGCUGAGCCAGCAGAGCUGACUUACCCCACACAGGGCUAGGGCUGCAGCCCAGAGUGGGAUGGGGUGCGGAGGGGGCACCGAGGACAAGGAUUCCCGCUGUCCCACGAGGCCAGGGCAUCCUGCUGGGGCUUAGGCCCCACCUCACCAUCCCCAGCAAGCUGGCGUCCUAGAAUUUUGUCUUGUGCAGAGGGCAGGGCUGGAGCUAGCACACAGCACACCCCAGGAAAUGUAACACCACUCCUGAGGGACCAGCCUGGGGAGCAAGGGACGCUGAGCCCUUCAAAAGGGGAGCUGGUGUCUGGGCUGCCUGCCUGCCAUGUGAUCUGGGCAAGUUUCAGCCUCCCUGAACUCUAGUUUUCCCAGGGGUAAAAUGGGGUUCACAGCAUCACCUCCCAGCACUGGGUGGAAUCCUGGCCACCACCUAGUGUUACUGAAGAAUAGGUUCUAGUCUGGCAUGCGAAAGGAUUCAAGUGCGAGGCAUAGUAAAGUGAAAGCAAGUUGUUUUAGAGAGAGAUACACUCCAUAGACAGAGUGUGGACCAUCUCAGAAGGAGAGGGCGAGGGGGAGAGGGAGACCACAAGGUGCGGGGUGCUAGUUUUCAUGGGCUCGGUAAUUUCAUGUGCUAAUGAGUAGGAGAACUAAUCCACCUAUUUUGGGAAAGGGGCGAGGAUCUCCUGGAAGUGGGUCCUGCCUACUUUUUGACCUUUUAUGGUCAGCCUAGGAGCUGCCAUGGUGCCUGUGGGUGGGCCAUGCGGUGCAAGGUUUACUGGAAGACGAAUGUUGCACCAUCUUGCUUCUAACCAGUUUGUCCUGUUCUCAACUGCUGUGUCGUUCCUUCAGUGGUUGUGCCCUGACCCCUUCCCCCUUGUCUCUCUAGUGGUGUUUGGUGUCCUGAGGAGACAGACUCUGGGGGUGUCUGGGGGAGACGGGGUAAGGUUGGAGUCCAGCCAGGAUGCCCUGUCUUCGCAGCACAGUGGGAACCUGGGCUGGCUGUGUACGGGAAGCAAUGAGUUGCCACCCAGAACGCCCUCUAUUUUUUUUCCCCUCUGGAGUCCGUGUUUGGAAACUUGAUUCAAAAGCCUGCUGUGAUCAGCGAUGCUCCGUGUGGCUCCGGAUUUCCAAUUCCAGAAAGGCAUCUAUCCAUCAGUUCAGGUGUGGCGAGCAGCGUCUCCGUGCAGGCACUGGCCUCAGGAGGCAGGGAAGUCCUGGAGGGUGAGCCUCCCUCUGUCCACCUGUUUGUCCCUCGGUCCACCUUUCUGUUGGUCUGUCUAUCCUUCAGGGAGUAGAUGGGCUGAGCCCUUCUACUUCCUGGCUCUGUAAAUGUGGGCAAAUUAAUUAGGUGAUUGUGGGCCUCGAUGUGCUUGUCUGUAAAGUGGGGAUGACACCAGUACCUACUUCUUGGGUGGUUUCUGGCAUUAAACAAAUCCACACAGGCGAGGGACUUAAUAGCUGUGCUGGCUCAUGGUAGGCACCAAACUGGUGUUGGACCUUAUUUAUUAAUAUUAUUGUUAUUGUUGCUAUUGAAACUUGCACAAAAUUAACAUCUGGCUUCACACACUUGGCAAAAGCUUCUUCAACUUUGGCAGUGAUCUUGAAUGCAAUCUUGCAUGAAUCUAUUUCACAGCUGUGCAUUCACUUCAGUUGGCUCUUGGUAGGACACGGGCUUGGCAGGUCUCAGUAAAUGGCAAACAUUUCAUAGUUGCAUUACUGCCUUGAGCAGCUAGAGUUCCAGCCACAAGCAACCCCACUGAAUAACUCAACAGCCUGUGCUUCUUAAUUUCCGCUGCGUUUGGAAAUUUCAGGAUGACACUGCAUACUCCCCCUGCUGUCCUCACAGCUCCCUGAGGAGCUCCCUCAACCCUCAAGUUAAAUCCACGCCUCAGUGAAGCCACACGGGUGGAGGUCAUGGGCAGAGAAUGGUCUGGGAGUUAAAACCCCAAAGCUUUGCGCUCUCCUUGUCCUGUUUGUCCCUUAGACACCCUAUAUUGGGAAGAAGGAUAGUAUUGGUUAAGAUUGUGGACAGAUUAAGCUGCUUAAAUCAAAGCCCUGCUCUAAUGGCUGUUAGUCUAAGACUGCCCUUCUUUGAGGCUCAGUUUCCUUAUCUGUCAAAUGAGGAUAAUGAUGCGCUGUCACCUAGAAGCUCUACUGAAGAGUAAACAAGAUAAAGGGGGAGGGAAAUAGCUUGGUGGUAGAGCACAUGCUUAGCAAGCAUGAGGUCCUGGGUUCAGUCCCCAGUACCUCCAUUAAUAAAAAAAGAUAAACCUAACUACCCCCACCAAAAGCUUAAAAAAGUAAAUAAAUAAAAUUUUAAAAAA